rnacentral:misc_RNA from 1 species
UACUAGUUCUUCUGUUUCUUCCUCUUCCUCAUCCCCUUCCAAAGCAUCAUCAAUGGCAUCUCCCAUCACCUCACUCACCAUUUCCAUCUUUUCAUUUUGCAUCUCAAAUUCUUGCAUUAUUCUCUGCAAUGCCGGCAAAUUCAUCUGCCUGUUCAUCUGUCCCAUUGCCUUUGUAACGCCUUUCAUUGCUUCACCCAUUGCUUGUGUUGAUUUCAAAGUCUGAAUUCUGAGGGAGACACCUUGAAGUUGGGACUUAAGCUUGUAAAAUUUUUCAAUCUGAUGCCUUGUUCUAAUAAGAUCUUUCGCCAUCACCUUCACAGCUCCCAUCUGUCCUUGCUUUGCACUUUUCUUUAUCUCUGCAAUUAGUUUCUUUUCUUGAGCCUGUAGACCUUGCCUCUCCCUCUCUAUCUCUCUAAUGGAUUUAUCCAGCAUCCUCUUAUUUUCCCGCAGAAGUUCUGCGGGGCUUUUUCUCUUUCCGAAGAGGAAACUCAUGUCUAAGUAGCGGAUGAACAAUUUCGAUUCUACCAGCAGUGACGGGGACAAAAUUGAUCGGAUCUGAUGGGGUCUCAGUCUCAGAUAUUGAGAGAUUGCUUGCGGUGCUGAUGCUUAACGUAGUAACAGUCCCGCUUUUCCUUCUUUCUAUUUACGCUCUGUUUGAG